rnacentral:ncRNA from 2 species
AUUUAUCUUCAGGGAUAGGUGAGAUUCCUUACCGGCGGUAGACAGUACUGACUGUGAGCCGCGAGCCGCUUUGGCAGAUCCGGUCAAAGUCCGGAGCCGACAGUGAGAUGUAUUUUAUUAAUACAUUAAGUCUGGAUGGGAGAAGAUAAGA